UUUGAGUUUAAAUUUGUAUAUUGUUUAAUGAUUACUUUCGAACAAAUUGUACUUAGUAGAGAAAAGAGAACAUACAAACAGGAUUUUACAAUACAUGAAUGAACUUUCUCAAAAUUCAGAACCCUGAGGAAGGUGCAAAUUAGAUACCGAAAGCUUGGCGAAUGAAUAAAGAGAAUUAAAUAAACAACUUUCAUAUUG